UACGUAGGGUGCAAGCGUUGUCCGGAAUUAUUGGGCGUAAAGAGCUCGUAGGCGGUCUGUCGCGUCGGAUGUGAAAACCCAGGGGCUCAACCCUGGGCCUGCAUUCGAUACGGGCAGACUAGAGUUCGGUAGGGGAGACUGGAAUUCCUGGUGUAGCGGUGAAAUGCGCAGAUAUCAGGAGGAACACCGGUGGCGAAGGCAGGUCUCUGGGCCAUAACUGACGCUGAGAAGCGAAAGCAUGGGGAGCGAACAGG
rnacentral:rRNA from 1 species